rnacentral:rRNA from 1 species
AUUGAACGCUGGCGGCAUGCUUUACACAUGCAAGUCGAACGGUAACAGGCCGCAAGGUGCUGACGAGUGGCGAACGGGUGAGUAAUGCAUCGGAACGUGCCCAGUCGUGGGGGAUAACGCAGCGAAAGCCGCGCUAAUACCGCAUACGAUCUAUGGAUGAAAGCGGGGGACCGUAAGGCCUCGCGCGAUUGGAGCGGACGAUGUCAGAUUAGGUAGUUGGUGGGGUAAAGGCUCACCAAGCCGACGAUCUGUAGCUGGUCUGAGAGGACGACCAGCCACACUGGGACUGAGACACGGCCCAGACUCCUACGGGAGGCAGCAGUGGGGAAUUUUGGACAAUGGGCGCAAGCCUGAUCCAGCAAUGCCGCGUGCAGGAAGAAGGCCUUCGGGUUGUAAACUGCUUUUGUACGGAACGAAACGGUCCUGGUUAAUACCUGGGGCUAAUGACGGUACCGUAAGAAUAAGCACCGGCUAACUACGUGCCAGCCGCCGCCGUAAUAC